AGUGAAUAGAGUACCCCGGUACGUCCCACGACUGUAAACGAUAGCGCGUUAGGGUGUAUACGGUGACCACGAGUCACCGAGGUGCCGAAAGGGAAACCGUGAAACGUGCCGCCUGGGAAGUACGGUCGCAAGGCUGAAACUUAAAGGAAUUGGCGGGAGAGCACCACAACGGGUGGAGCCUGCGGUUUAAAUCGGACUCAACGCCGGGAAACUCACCGGACAAGACAGCUGAAUGAUAGCCGGGCUGAAGACUCUGCUUGACUAGCUGAGAGGAGGUGCAUGGCCGUCGUCAGUUCGUACUGUGAAGCAUCCUGUUAAGUCAGGCAACGAGCGAGACCCACGCCAACAGUUGCCAGCUCGUCCUCCGGGACGGUGGGGACACUGUUGGGACCGCCUCUGCUAAAGAGGAGGAAGGAAUGGGCAACGGUAGGUCAGCAUGCCCCGAAUUGUCCGGGCUACACGCGGGCUACAAUGGGU
rnacentral:rRNA from 1 species